rnacentral:antisense_RNA from 1 species
CUUGACCGAACCGAGCCAGAGCGGCUCCUCGCGAUCCUGCCCGUAGGUCGCCAGCAGCGCCUGCGCCUC